rnacentral:misc_RNA from 1 species
AUUAAUUAAAUAUCAUUAAAGAUUUAUAAUUAAAUGUACUUUAAAAAUGCCUUUUGUUAAUAAAAAAUCUAAAAAGGAAAAAUACUUUGAAGUUCAAAUACAGUAGAUGGAGAAAAUCAAUAAAGACUACGAUACAAGGAAAAAUUCAAAGUAGAAAAAAAACAACAACACACAGCAACAAAAAGUAGAAAACAACAAGAGCAAAAAAAAAGCAUUAGUAGAAUAAAUAGUAUUUUGCAUUUACCAAUGGAAACAUGGAUAACGAACAACCACAUCAGGAACUUGUUAAGUGUGUCCUUGUUGGCGAUACAGCCGUAGGCAAAACGCGAUUAAUAUGUGCUCGUGCAUGCAAUAAACAUGUUUCCCUUUCACAAUUAUUAUCCACUCAUGUGCCCACUGUAUGGGCUAUAGACCAAUAUCGUAUAUAUAAAGAUGUACUUGAACGCUCAUGGGAGGUAGUUGAUGGUGUCAAUGUAUCUUUACGUCUUUGGGACACAUUCGGUGAUCAUGAUAAAGAUAGACGUUUUGCUUAUGGACGGUCUGAUGUUGUUUUGCUGUGUUUUUCCAUUGCCAGUCCCAUUUCCUUAAGGAAUUGCAAAGCCAUGUGGUAUCCGGAAAUCAGAAGAUUUUGUCCUGAUGUUCCAGUUAUAUUGGUGGGCUGUAAAAACGAUUUACGUUAUAUGUAUCGUGAUGAGACCUAUCUCUCUUAUUUUGGUGAGAGAAGUACAUUUGUCAGAGCUGCUCUCAAAAGUGAUUUGGUAAUGCCAGAUGAGGCCCGUGCCGUGGCCCGGGAACUUGGUGUUUCCUAUUACGAAGCCAGCGUCUUUACCUAUUUUGGUGUUAAUGAAGUGUUUGAAAAUGCCAUACGUUCUGCUUUAAUUGCCCGACGACAACAACGUUUUUGGAUGACAAAUCUUAAAAAAGUUCAAAAACCUUUGCUGCAGGCCCCAUUUCGUCCCCCCAAACCGCCACCACCCGAAAUGACCGUAGUGGUGGGUAAUUUUCGCCAGGAUAUGUAUAACAUGUUUUUGGCUCAAAACUAUACCGAUCUUAUAUUGGUUGUUGGCACAAUAAAAUUUCCCGUACACAAAUUUAUGCUUGCUGCUGCUUCUAAUGUUUUCAAUCGUAUUCUAAAUACGGAAAUUACCGAUAUGGGCGGACGCAGUAGCAGUGAGUCGAGUAUGAUAAGUUCAACAUUUGGUGAGGCAACAACGGCUGAUUUUAACGAUGACACCGAGUGCCUGAUACGUAAUGAAUCUCGUGCACAAAGAAUGUGGGAGCAAAUUAAACGCCGUUCCAGUUAUCAAGCUUUGCCUUUGAUUGAGGCCAAAAAACCAAGUGAACUUUAUAAGGAUUUACAUCAUCCGGUCUUUCAGAAUAUACGCAUAGUACAGGUGGACAAUGGUCGUGGCAAUUUGAUUAAUCAAACUAUUAUAACUUUAACAAAGAUUAUAACUACUCAAGCUUUGCAUCAAUGUCUUAAAUUUAUUUAUACUGGCACUAUUGAAAAAGAAUUGAAUAAUAUACAGGAUAUUGAACAAGCUGCCGAUUUGCUGGAACUGCCUCAAUUAACACAAUUGCUUACCAAGACACAAAAUAACGCACCCAGCAUUAAUGAUGAUCCUAGUUCUCAUAUAUGUCUUAGUAUUAAAGAAAAUAUGGAAAAACAUUGCAUGGGUGAUGGUUGCUUUAGUGAUAUUACUUUUGAAUUGGACGAUGGACAAAUGAAAGCACAUCGUGCCAUAUUGGUGGCACGUUGUGAUGUAAUGCGUGCCAUGUUGGCUGGUGAUUUUCGUGAGGCACACUCUAGUGUGAUUGUAUUUCCUGGCGUGACUAUUUAUACAUUCCAUAAAUUACUUUGCUAUUUAUAUACCGAUGAAAUACCACAUAUUUCGGCUGCUAAAUGUUUAAACCUUUUGGAACUAGCCAAUCGUUUAUGUCUGCCACGUUUAUUAAAUUUAGUCGAGUGUCGUGUUAUAGAGGAUCUCACCAUGAUUUCACAAAAAGAAACCAAUGAAACUGUAGAUCAUUGUCUUAAGCUUUUAGAGCCUGUAAAGCUGCACAAUGCCGAUCAAUUGGCCGAAUGGUGUAUGUCAUAUUUAUGCGUUAACUACAAUGUCAUUUGCCGGCAUUCAAUUAAAGGCCUUCGAGCUUUGCAUCAAGAUAAUCAAGAGUAUUUGCGUGAACAUAGAUGGCCACCCGUUUGGUAUUUAAAAGAUUAUGAUUACUAUCAACGUUGCAUUAACGAAAUGAAUAAAGAGUUAAAGAACUCACGUCGAGAUUCACGCAGUGAUGACGAAGGCUGUCUUUGUUUUACAGGCGGUUUUACUUUUUGGAAAAAUCUAUUUUGACUUUUAACCUAUUACUUAUAAAAAUCAACUUCCUGAAAAUCUUACCAAUACCUCCCUACUGCAUGCUGCAAGUUUUAGUGUGAACCGAAAGCGAAAACCUCAUAAAACCAGAAAAACUUUCACAAACAGUAUAAAGUUAAACUUACACGCAUUGUUAAGCUGAGAAUUAUAUUCACUGUGCAGAUUUCUCCAGAAAAUUUAUCACAUCAUAGUUUAUUAGUUCAGCAGUUUCAAUUUAUGGGAAUUUCUUAAAAAGAAAUUCCAGAGGAUGAAAGAUGACACAAUAGAUUUGCCUAAAUUUGAGCUGAUAAAACAAAUGUUAUUAGGUCAAGGAUAUGGACUUUCGCAGAUAUAAAUCUGAAUUAAACAAAAAAUUAUUCUUUUGAAUUGUUUUUCUACAAAAAAAUUAACAAAACGUUAAUUUCAAAAUUAA